GGGUGCCGGAAUUAGCGGUUUUUGUAGCGGUUCCGGUAGCUCCUCGCAGUGUGUAACAGCAGACCUUGCCGCGAUUCUUCGUCAACAAUAUGCGUGCUAAUACAUUGUUCUAUUAAUUAAUUAUGAGGUAACCGUAAUGGCUACAGGUACAGUAAAGUGGUUUAACGACAGUAAAGGUUUUGGAUUUAUCACACCGUCAGAUGGCAGCACUGAUGUGUUUGUUCAUCACAGUGCAAUCAAGGCUGAAGGUUUUAAAUCUCUGUCUGAAGGACAGCAAGUGACUUAUGAUGUCGAGAAAGGCCCUAAAGGUCCGAGUGCAACCAACGUCGUUGCACAAUAAACCAGACCAUAUAAGACUGGUCAAAAGCCCCGCCCAAAGCGGGGUUUUUUUG
rnacentral:sRNA from 1 species